AUUAAUUUGUUUUUAAAACAACAGCCAUUAGUGUUAAAAUAAAUGAUAUCGGACGAAGAUUGUUAAGUUUAAACGUUUCAUCAUUUAGUUAUCGCACUAGACUGGUACUUAGUGAAUUAUCACAAAUAAUGAGUGAAUUAGCGAAUUGUUUCCCUUUGAAAUCUACACGCCAUUAACGGUGUAUACAUGUGUGAAACUGGGUCAGAGAAAACAUGCAGUUAUUGCUCUGAAUAUACGCGGAUAUUUAAAGUGCAUGGCGGAUUUAUUGGUUGUUAUGGACAACCUCCAGCAGUAUGAGAUAUAAAUGUUUACUGCAGUUUUGACAAUGCCCAUCAAGUGGAGUUGCUGUGAGUUCUCAUGCAGUGUAUGAAAAGUACAGUACUGCUGUUGGAAGAGGAGCAGUGUGGUAUCUUUGGUCCACCAUCACUUCAAGCAUUAUGACUUGGAUAAAAGAAGGUUUCAUUACAUAUGGACAACUAUAUUGGACAAAAUAAGAAGUGUUCUAAUAAGUUCUGGAAUGUGGCUUGUUAUGAUGGGUCUACAUGAUUGACUUGGAGUACAACAUGAUGGGGACUGGGCUUGCAGAAUUCAGUCCUGAACAUGUUUAGAAUGUCUUCUGCAUGACCUAGUAUAGUAUUCUUGAAGGAUUAUAACUUCAACACAGAGACGGAGAUUAAUAUUUUAGGCAGGGGAUUGGCAUGACAGGCAAAUUCUCCAACUGUAUUACCAUUCCUGAGCUGGAUGCCAGCCGACUGUGGUACCUGUAUAAUGAAAUAGCGCCCUUUGCAGCAACAGCAAUGUAUGCUCAAAACUAGCAGUGCCAAAGCCAUUAAAAUUGAGAACUCAGUCAUUUAAAACAAAGAAUGAAUGAAAAAAAGUGUUUAACAAUUUAAAGUAAUACAGAGAAAGAGCUUAGCUCAUUUGGUAUUUUCUGAAAUUUUAAUUAAUUUUGAAAGUGUUUUUUGAUUUUUUAAAGGUGUACUAGACCCAAAUUCCAUAUAUGAGCCGUGCCAUGAGAAAACCAACAUAGUGGGUUUGCAACCAGCAUGGAUCCAGACCAGCCUGCCCAUCCGUGCAGUCUGGUCAGGAUCCAUGCUGUUCACUUAUAAAGCCUAUUGGAAUUAGAGAAACUGUUAGCGAACAGCAUGGAUCCUGAUCAGACUGCAUGGAUGUGCAGGCUGGUCUGGAUCCAUUCUGGUCACAAACCCACUAUG